GAGUUUGAUCGUGGCUCAGGAUGAACGCUGGCGGCGCGCCUAACACAUGCAAGUCGAACGGCACCCACCUCCGGGUGGAAGCGAGUGGCGAACGGCUGAGUAACACGUGGAGAACCUGCCCCCUCCCCCGGGAUAGCCGCCCGAAAGGACGGGUAAUACCGGAUACCCCCGGGUGCCGCAUGGCGCCCGGGCUAAAGCCCCGACGGGAGGGGAUGGCUCCGCGGCCCAUCAGGUAGACGGCGGGGUGACGGCCCACCGUGCCGACAACGGGUAGCCGGGUUGAGAGACCGACCGGCCAGAUUGGGACUGAGACACGGCCCAGACUCCUACGGGAGGCAGCAGUGGGGAAUCUUGCGCAAUGGGGGCAACCCUGACGCAGCGACGCCGCGUGCGGGACGGAGGCCUUCGGGUCGUAAACCGCUUUCAGCAGGGAAGAGAAGAGACUGUACCUGCAGAA
rnacentral:rRNA from 1 species